rfam:Hammondia hammondi strain H.H.34 contig01179, whole genome shotgun sequence.
GGGCUGAUGGUGUAGGGGUAUCACGUUCGCUUCGCAUGCGAAAGGUCUCGGGUUCAAUUCCCGAUCAGUCCA